GGAGAGAUGGCUGAGUGGUCGAAAGCGGUCGCCUGCUAAGUGAUUGAACGGUUAUUAGCCGUUCCCCGGGUUCGAAUCCCGGUCUCUCCGCCA
rnacentral:tRNA from 1 species